CAGAAUAAUGUGAAACUGCUACGUUUUGGUUGCUAUGAACAAUAUUUUGAGUUAGUUUCUGCAUAAAAAUAAGGUUUGAUUACAUUUUUAGCGAGAAAUAUAUAUUCUAUUUUCAUAAUAUUCACUCAGUGAAUGUCAACCCGUUCUCACUCCUGACCGUUCUCACGCUGAAGAAGUCUCCUUCAGAACACAUCGCGAUAUUUGGCAUCAGUUCGCGUGUGCUGGAUGUUGCUGAAAAGACAAAAAGGGCCUUUUGGAAAUGGAUGAAGGAGACAGAAAGCUGCAAAGGCAAAUAAUUGCAAUGGAUUACUUGCAGAUUACUUAGUCCUUCUUUUUAGGAUCUCUACAACAUCAAACUCAACAGCUCUUUUAAGAGCUGACCCUCACAAGAGCUACUAGUGAGUCGCUGCAAACCUGCCGUGAUCAGCCCUUUCCAGGUAAAGUUUCUAGAUAUUUAAAUCAGUAUUUACUCAUCAAAUGCUCUCCUGGAUGGUAUGGUAAAUUAACUGAUUUAUAACUGUCUCAAUUUGUAUGUUUUAAGAACAAGAGUAAUUGCACACAGAGUAAGUAGAGACUUUCUUGUUUUUCUGUGCAGAGAAGGAA